CAUGGAUUGCCGCCGGGUAACGUCUCAAUUCAUUCCGUUAGGCCUUAGAAGGAGUGAUGCGUGAGGCGUUUUAUUA
rnacentral:ncRNA from 1 species